ensembl:lncRNA
CGUUGUUUUGCUUGUUUACAGGUUGCAUCCUGCCAUGUGUAAGAUCGAUGGUGAAUAAAAUGAUUGCUAACACUUUUACCAACUACAUACUGUUGCAGCAGAGUGACAUGGAUGCUAAGGCUAAUGUGUGUGUAUGAAAUGAAGCCUGCACUGAAAAUGUUGACAAGUGGUGUAGAGCUGAAGAUAUAUAUACAGUAUGCCGUAUAGCCUUAAAAAAUGACAAUACAGGGUGGUGAUGUUGGGUUUAUAUUUUAUUAUGGUAAAUGGUAAAUGGCCUGUAUUUAUAUAGCGCUUUUCUGGUCCCUAAGGACCCCAAAGCGCUUUACAUAUCCAGUCAUUCACCCAUUCACGCACACAUUCACACACUGGUGAUGGCAAGCUACGAUGUAGCCACAGCCACCCUGGGGCGCACUGACAGAGGCGAGGCUGCCGGACACUGGCGCCACCGGGCCCUCUGACCACCACCAGUAGGCAACGGGUGAAGUGUCUUGCCCAAGGACACAACGACCGAGACUGUCCAAGCCGGGGCUCGAACCGGUAACCUUCCGAUUACAAGGCGAACUCCCAACUCUUGAGCCACGAUCGCAGUUGACACAUUUGUGUCUGCUCCCUGGUUUGAGACCUGGAUAAGACAGGAACAUCAGCUUACUGGUAAACAAGGUGAUGCUUACUAAUGGCAUUUGUCAUGUCACAUAAAUUUAGCACCGACUAAAGCAGUUAGUCUGCCUAGCUAAAAGAUUUCUUUGUUAACAUGAUACAAAAGACACUAUAAAGAGCAAGAGAAAUGAAACGAACAACAACAACAAAAAUAGUAUGGCCUCUGUUGCUAUAAGUCAUCAUGUCCAUAUAACACACCAGAAACCUUUCCAUAAAAGGAUCAUUUUUAUAUUCUUACUUUCUCAACGACUUGCCUACACACACUUUCCUCUGAUGUUGUACUCUAACUUGGUGACUGUCUGGAAAUGUGUCCCUCGACCUUGCAGCAAUCAUUUGUGUGUAGAUUUACUUUCUUGGUAACAAAGAGUAACUAAACACUUCUAAUUUAUAGGGAGUGGAAGAAAUGGUCUGUCCAUAACACAUUUGUUUGUCACUACGGGCUUAGAAAAAAUAAAUAAAACUCCCUGUGUGGAUUAACAACCACAGUUUGACUAGAAGACUGCUUUAAAGAUGUGCAUUCAUGCACAUGUGUGGCUCUUUCUGUAUCCAAGAUGAGUAUGCACCUGUCAAAUCCUAAAAAUGAACACAAAUUAAAUUUAAAAGUCAGCUUCUUGUGCAGCGCUACACUGCUCUCCACACUCCUGCUACAAAUGGAUCCCUCCCUCAGAGUCCUGUUCUGAUGCAUGCUGGUGAAACGCAGUGGAUUUCCUCCACUGUGUCAGAAACGGUGAUGCUUCAGCUUGAAGUUUUGGGUUUUGAGCAAUGAUGGUGUCUAUGUUGGCCAAAAGAAAGAGUUUUCAGUGCGCUUUCAGCAGGUCCAUGAGAGGGAGUGACACGGUUCAGAUCAAAUGUUCAUGGAACAUCUGACGUCAUUCUUGUAGGUACUUGCCAAUAAGACCAAUAUUUUGUCUCUAGGUUAUAACUGGAAACCCAGCAAUCCUCAGUCCGCUGAAUGUCAGAAUGGGACUUCUGUUCGGGAGCGUAUAAGAGGAAAAGGCAGCAACUUCAAAGUGGAUAACAACCAUAUUUGAAUCAUCUAAGGUUUUGCAUUUUGGCACUGACAUUCUUGCUUGUAUCUUGCACAGGAUACACUGUUUAUGCGUUUUGAUGGCUGGUUAAAACAACUCUGAAUGAUUUUCCAGAAUCUCAAACAAACUAAGUAAAGCUUACUUAAGAUAACUAUGUUAAGACAACUUAUUCAUUGCAAGUAUACAGUACUAAGAAUAACUUGAUGUUUCUGACUUUAUCAUCCUAGAAAUUUCUAGUACAACACUUAUAUUAAUAUAGCACUGUGUGCAAGCAUGAUUUAAGAAUAAUUAACAACACUUCUUGUAAUGGUGUUAAAAUCAGCCCAACUUUUAUUUUCAAAUGCAAAAAGGUAUAUCAGCCAACAUACUGGACACUGUUCUGCUGAACAAUAGACAAUUAUAUUGCCAUCAUUGUUAUAAUCUUACAAUGAAACAAAGUCUCAGAUUUAAUUAUUCUGAAACUAAGUUUAGGCUUUCCACAACUUUGUUUUGCAAGUUACAUUAAUUAUAUAAUCAAAAGAAAAUAUAUUUAUUGCGUAGCCACAAGUGCAGUCUUUAGAUCAAACAACACCUUUGUUUUGCAUUCAAACACAGAAGCUUGGUAUAUUGUAAUAUUUUAAGGAUGACUUGUUUCCAGUCCAGGCAUUAUUGCCUGAAUGACUGUCAUGGAUUGAGGCGAUCCAAGUGCAGAAGAAAGUCUUUAACUUCCCUUAAGUACAGUGGCAGUGGAUGUGGGUUGGAGAUGCAAUGAGCUUGAACCUGCAGUGACCAUCUUCACUGACCACACCAUCUGUGACAGAGGAUGCAUCUCUCCUGGUGUCCUGCAAGCAAGCAAUCAGAUUUUUUAGAUCACCAUCUUAUUUGCUUUCUUAAAACAUUGUUUUUUGCAUUUGCUAUAAAACAAGCCCCGAUUUCGACAAUCCCAGGCUUCCUCCCCACCGGAGAGGUGACAUUCAAUGUCCCACCUGUCAGUCUGGAUAGCCCUGACCACCACCCAACACACAAUAAUGUCGGGAAAGCUUAUUUUUUAAAAGGGGCUCUUUAAUAAUGACCAAUAACUUUUCAUUCUUAUGAUCUGCAGAAUAAUUUAGGCACAAAACAAAUUUCAAUGUUCAAAACUUGCAGACUUCACUACAUACAUCGUGGCCUCUCUAAACUAAGUUUGUGGCAUAUGAUCUUUCAAGAAGUAUCUUUAGAGAAAAAUCAGGCCUUCAGCUACAGUUUGUGAGAUAACACUAAACCGCACACAGUCAAAUGACUGCAAUGAUUCCUCAAAAGUAGCUGCCAUUGUGAAAAUCAGUGUGUAAAUUAAGAAAUCUAUAAGGCAUGUAAGAAGACAGUGAGUCAUAGCUUCUAAAAACCAGUUUAAGCCUCAAAAUGCAGACAGCCCACAUUGAUUUAAAAACCCUCCCACCGUGCCUUUUACGUGGUUGAUUUCUUAUCUGAAACAGUAAUAUUUCAGUGACUGCUGCUUAUAUCACAGAUUAAUACACUCUACAGAUCCCUGCUGGGAGAAUCAUUACCUCUGCCAGCAAAGACGUUUGGUGGAUUUUAUGUUUGGUUUUGUGAGGAAGCAAAGCUGUGUGUCUGUGUAAAAAUGUGUUAAACCUUAAUAAAAAGGUUAUUCUUAAAUACACUAGUGCCUUUGUAACAAUGCAGGGCGGUGAGCAUGGGAGUAGUUGGAGGCUGCAUGUCCCACUGGACACUGGAUUAAUUAAAAUAGUUGUUUAUUUUAUUUCUAAACUUCACUAUUUCAUUCAUUAUUUCAUGGUUUCUUUGCAUCCCAAGUUUAUUUCAUCUGUAGUACUUACCCAUCGGUAUAUGUUCCCUGUGUUUGCUUACAUUAAAAUACCAGUACUGAUGAGCAGAGCAUAUAAAUGCAGCACUUUUUAUAUUUGACAAUGUAUUUUGAAAGCACAAGACAAAUCACAAACUGUUUUAAUUUAGGUCUUUCUUUUUAUUUUGUUUUAUUUUUCAGUUGUUGAUUUUAUGGUGAUGUGAUGCUAAAUUACAUAUUUUUAAGAUUCAGUUGAAUUUGUCAGGGUCCCUGUGCCUACCCGGUCGGCUCAGCAUGGCUACAUAUGUUUUAUUUUCAUUUUUGUUCCUGCUCUCUCCCUUCCUCUCUUUCCCUCCUCCCUCGGCCUGGGCGGAGCUCACCUGUGGGCUCCUGCCCCUGACCCACGCACCUGUGGCUCAUCAUGAGAGUGUUCCAGCUCCUUUAUAAGAUGGCAGCUUUGUGUCUCUCGUCGCUGGACCGUUGCCGACCCUCAUUCCCUGGACCCACCCCUGUGUUUUCUGAAGUGAUCGAGUGUGCGUAAGUGUCAGGGGAAAAUUUCCCAAAUAGAAAGCUGCCAAAGUAAAACAGAGACACAGUGAGACAAUAUAAAAAAUCAUAUGUACAUGGGUGAACUCUCUAAAGAGUCAGAGAGUCACCCAGUACUCUUCUUUAUUGCAGGUUAUAUAGGCAUGUAGGUUACACAGCAGACGGAGGCAGUCUCCGCCUGUUCUCAGAAUAUAUUGCUUAACUGACAAAUGCAUAUCUUACUAAACAUUCUGUCCGUACUAUACUAAACGUCUGCUUAAGUGGUAUUUUCCGUUGCUCUUUGCACAGGAACUUGUCUUCACAGGCAUUUGAUAAGCAUAGGCAAGGUUUCAUGUUUUAUCAGGGUGAAUCGUCAUUCAGAGUUUACGCAGUUACAAGCAAAGCAUAUUUGAAUAAUAAACAAAAUCUUUUCACAUUUCCCUCCUGUUGUUUAACUUUCACACUAGUUAAAACACCAUUGGUUUAUUAUCUGUGCAUGAUUUCUUGCAGCGCAUUUUUAAUCAGCACGUCAUACAUUGGUGUAUCACAGCAUUUCAGUGUCAGGGGGAUUUAUCAUCAUCUUCGUCCAUGGGCAGUGUCAGGUAUGCCUGCACAUGAACUGCAACAACUUUAUUAAUCAUUGAUUGUGCACAUGGC